CUCUAAACCCUAAGUUUGUGACUUUUGAUAAAACAUUAAGUGGUAUUUUUGUGAUUUUUUUGACCUUGAAUGCUAGUUUGGAAACAAAAUCUUGAUUUAAUGCUAUUUUUGUCUUUUUCUCCUAUUAUUUCUUCCUGUCUUUUUGUGUGAGCUAAAAGAACGACGUAACCGAAGUUGGCUUCUCUCUCCGUAUCGACGAUGUUGCUUGAGAUUUGCCUUAUCUAUUUCUAUUUUAUCUUUUUCGUCGGAAAUUUUUCUUCUACUUCGUCUCCGCCUCACUCGUUGAUGCUUUUUUGUUGGUCUUAAUCUGGUUACCACUUCAAGUUGUAUUGAAACUAUGAACUCACGGAUUCAACGGUGGAGAAAGAUGAAGAUCGCAUGGUUUAUGACGAGAUGAAAAAGAAGGUGAAGCUCUCUCUGAUCCUGAAAAUCCAGACUCGGAUCCCUUCUUGGCACUGGUUGUCGAUCAAAAAUAUGAAAUCAUGGUGUCUUUAAAGAGCGUAAAUUUGCAGACUUGAUCAAGAACAAUCAAUGGGCUGGGUGUGUUUCACGCGCCGCCGUACGCAGUCAUUGCGAUUCUCUUGCUUCCGAAUACGCAUCCGCCACACCAUGGCUAAAAGGCAAGGACAAAUGAUGUUUGUUGAUGGCGAGCACAAGCCUUACAUUGAAGAGAGUACCGAAGAAACAAUUAUGACAUGGACCAUGAUGGACGAAGAAGAAGAUAGGCUUUUGUGCUUUGCAAUGAAAAUGUUCAUCUGAAUGCUAUAUAAAUUUAGAAAACCGUAAUUUGUAAGUUUCUGCAAAACAUGUCCACUUGAUACGAUGUACAUGUCUACAUGAAAAGUCAUAUUGUACAUGUGUACACCUCGAAGAAACGAAGACAAAAUAUGUCACCGAAUCUUAAAUAUGUUAUUAACUCCAUUUUAACACUCAUCAAUAUAAAAAUAAAUUACAAAGAUU